rnacentral:rRNA from 1 species
AUGAACGCUGGCGGUCUGCUUAACACAUGCAAGUCGAACGGGAGUAGCAAUACUCCAGUGGCGGACGGGUGAGUAACGCGUGAGAAUCUGCCUUUUGGUCGGGGACAACCACUGGAAACGGUGGCUAAUACCGGAUGUGCCUGUGGGUAAAAGAUUAAUUGCCAGAAGAGGAGCUCGCGUCUGAUUAGCUAGUUGGUAGGGUAAAAGCCUACCAAGGCAUCGAUCAGUAGCUGGUCUGAGAGGACGAUCAGCCACACUGGGACUGAGACACGACCCAGACUCCUACGGGAGGCAGCAGUGGGGAAUUUUCCGCAAUGGGCGAAAGCCUGACGGAGCAAGACCGCGUGAGGGAAGAAGGCUCUUGGGUCGUAAACCUCUUUUGUUAGGGAAGAACACAAUGACGGUACCUAACGAAUCAGCCUCGGCUAACUCCGUGCCAGCAGCCGCGGUAAUACGGAGGAGGCAAGCGUUAUCCGGAAUUAUUGGGCGUAAAGCGUCCGCAGGUGGCGAUUCAAGUCUGCGGUCAAAGACUGGGGCUUAACCCUGGAAAGGCCGUGGAAACUGAAAAGCUAGAGUGCAGUAGGGGUAGAGGGAAUUCCCGGUGUAGCGGUGAAAUGCGUAGAGCUCGGGAAGAACAUCGGUGGCGAAAGCGCUCUGCUGGACUGCAACUGACACUCAGGGACGAAAGCUAGGGGAGCGAAUGGGAUUAGAUACCCCAGUAGUCCUAGCCGUAAACGAUGGAUACUAGGUGUGGCUUGUAUCGACCCGAGCCGUGCCGUAGCUAACGCGUUAAGUAUCCCGCCUGGGGAGUACGCACGCAAGUGUGAAACUCAAAGGAAUUGACGGGGGCCCGCACAAGCGGUGGAGUAUGUGGUUUAAUUCGAUGCAACGCGAAGAACCUUACCAGGGCUUGACAUGUCGCGAAUCUUGGGGAAACCUAAGAGUGCCUUCGGGAGCGCGAACACAGGUGGCGCAUGGCUGUCGUCAGCUCGUGUCGUGAGAUGUUGGGUUAAGUCCCGCAACGAGCGCAACCCUCGUCUUUAGUUGCCAGCAUUAAGUUGGGCACUCUAGAGAGACUGCCGGUGACAAACCGGAGGAAGGUGGGGAUGACGUCAAGUCAGCAUGCCCCUUACGUCCUGGGCUACACACGUACUACAAUGCGACGGACAAAGGGCAGCAAGCCAGCGAUGGCAAGCCAAUCCCAUAAACCGUGGCUCAGUUCAGAUCGCAGGCUGCAACUCGCCUGCGUGAAGGAGGAAUCGCUAGUAAUUGCAGGUCAGCAUACUGCAGUGAAUUCGUUCCCGGGCCUUGUACACACCGCCCGUCACACCAUGGAAGUUGGCCACGCCCGAAGUCGUUACCCUAACCGCUUGCGGAGGGGGACGCCGAAGGCAGGGCUGAUGACUGGGGUG